rnacentral:rRNA from 1 species
UACAGAGGGUGCAAGCGUUAAUCGGAAUUACUGGGCGUAAAGGGCGCGUAGGCGGUUAAAUAAGUGAGAUGUGAAAUCCCUGGGCUUAACCUAGGAACUGCAUCUUAUACUGUUUGACUAGAGUACUGUAGAGGGUAGUGGAAUUCCGGGUGUAGUGGUGAAAUGCGUAGAGAUCCGGAGGAACACCAGUGGCGAAGGCGACACACUGGGCCGUACCUGACACUAAGACGCGACAGCAUGGGGAGCGAACGGG